UACAGAGGUCUCAAGCGUUGUUCGGAUUCAUUGGGCGUAAAGGGUGUGUAGGUGGCGCGCUAAGUCGGGUGUGAAAUUUCGGAGCUUAACUCCGAAACUGCAUUCGAUACUGGCGUGCUUGAGGACUGGAGAGGAGACUGGAAUUUACGGUGUAGCAGUGAAAUGCGUAGAUAUCGUAAGGAAGACCAGUGGCGAAGGCGGCGCUCUGGAACGUUUCUGACACUGAGGCUCGAAAGCGUGGGGAGCAAACAGG
rnacentral:rRNA from 1 species